GUGCUCGCUUCAGCAGCACAUAUACUAAAAAAUUGGAAUGAUACAGAGAAGUUCAGCAUGGCCCCUGCGCAAGAACGACCACGCAAAUAUUCUUUUUU
rnacentral:snRNA from 1 species